rnacentral:lncRNA from 1 species
AAUGAAGGGCAAUGACCCUGGGUGCAACCCAAGACUGCAAGGUCAUGGCCAAUAUGAGGAAGUGGAUACAUUUCAACUUUUCUCUAGACACUCAAAUUUUUCCAUUCCAUUCUGUCCUGUUUUGGUUUUUUUUUCCCCAUGUGAGAGGGAUGUGGGGGUUGAAUUUGGAGAGGAAUACUUUCUGAGUAGUAUUUUAUGCCUGUGUUAACUUACUAAAGCCAAUACCACACUAAUAACACCGGAGCUCAAUGGAUCAUUAAUAAUUUUUCCUAGUCUCAGAAUGCCAGAGAACAAAAAGAGAGAAGGAUUCUUCUCCAGACCAACGAGUAAGGAUGGAAUUUGUGACCAGUACAAUGAAAUAAUGUUACCUAUCCAUCAUGAGUGUUGACAUGACUGGGAGGAAAAUACAUGGGGAUUUUCUUGGGCCCAAGAAACCUAUUUGAGAAGACGAUCACUGCUCUACCUUUGUUUCAACUGAAGAAUCACCUUUGGCAGAUAUGUGAACUAUCGAUGCUUGUACCCCAAGGGACAGUGAGAUUUUGUACUGCUGCCAUUCGUUUCUCAAGACACUGGAUUCCCACCAAUUUCAAAUUCUAUAAUUUUGUCUCUUUUGGAUAUGAAUUUAUCUAUACAUUUCUACAUAUUUCUCUGCACAAAGGCAAUGCCCACAUGUUGACCUGUAAUAAUUUCAUUAGUCUAUUUCUUGAGUCUUGUGAACAAGUCAUAUGAAUUCAGAUUUCAUGCCUCCAAAUGUCCCCCCUGACUCUGAAUUGACCCUGGGAAGGUUGGAAAACCAUCUGUUUUGAGACUUCAAAUAGCAAGAGUGAGAGGUAGAGUUGAGAGGUAAAGUGGUAAGGAAACAAAGAAAUAAAUCUGCUUGAAAAUCAUGUAAAGAACUUCGAGUACAAUGAUUGUCAAAUGGAAAUGCCUAGGAACAAAGAGUUCAGAAUCCCACUAAAGUUUUUAGAAAAAUGUAUUAUCUAAAUGACCAAGAGUCCAAAUGAAAAAAAUAACAGCUUAAUUGAUCCAGACUUAAGAGUUCCCACGGGCCCCUACACACUCGCUAGUAAGAGGCGGGUUUUAAAGGGAUAGAGCCACCAAUAGCCAUUUCAGAUAUGACCAAGGAGAAGAUGGAUAAGCAACAUCCUCUCAGAGGGCAAAGUGAAGAGGCUCAAAUGAUGCCAGAUAAGAUAUUCCUUCCUAGAGAACAAAACAAAAGGCCAACCAAGAGCUUUCCCCUCCACCCCAAGUAGCCCUUAAAGUGAUUGCUGCCCAGGAUCCCAGCAUGGCCACAGACCUGUGACUUCUAAGGGUCUUCUUCCUUCCGUUUUCCCAGUAAGAAUGCUACUGAGUUUAUGCUGUAUAUAAGGGAUGAGGGUUGAGGGGAGGGAGGGAAGACUCAGUAUUGCAGUUUGUUGAGGAAAGGACCAAGAGGAGGGGCAACUGGGUGUCUCCGUCAGUUAAGCAUCAGACUCACGAUUUCUGCUCAGGUCAUGAUCUCAUGGGUCACAGGAUGGAGCCCCAAGAUAGGAUCCAUGCUUAGUGGAGAAUCUGCUUGAGAUUUUCUCCCUCUCUCCCUCCCCCCACUCUCUCUCUCUCUCUAAAAUAAAUAAAUCCAAAAAAAAAGAAAAAAGAAAAAAGUAAAGGACCAAGAGGAGGUGUAUCUGAGCUUGAUGGAGAGGACGACAGGGCUCUGAGGUACUGAGCUUUAAGGUGAAUGCAGUGACUGCUUGAGUUUCCUGUUGUCUCCCUUGAGAACGGUAUGUGCAUAGAGGUAGAAACCAUCUGAUCUUCUAUGUUUGGAAGACAGACAAUGGCAGGCACGUGUACACCCACCCACACAUGUUAUGUAUUUCUCAGCCCCUCUUCAGACAUGCACUUUAUUUAAAAAGUUGUAUCACCUCUUGAGAGAGAAAGCAAGUCUGUGUCCAUGUGGAUGGAAUUGAUGUAUGCUGCUUCUAAAUAUUUUUUUUAAGAUUUUAUUCAUUUAUUUGAGAGAGAGUGAGGAGGGAGAGGGAGGGGGAGAGAGAAUUUGAAGCAGACUCCACACUGAGCACAGAGCCCAACGUGGGGCUCAAUUCCACAACCACAAAUCACGACCUGAGCCAAAACCAAGAGUCGGAUGCUCAAGUGACUGAGCCACCCAGGCACCCCUGAUGUGUACUGCUUCUAGACCUAACCCCCAAAAUGUCUCUUGAAUACUCUUUCCUUUAUCUAUAUGACUAGGACCAAAGAAUUCUGAGACAUAGUCACACUGACAGAGGUGGAAUUCUUGAGUGACUGCUUUCAAGACAGUCAUUAAACCAGCUUCAGACUGCAAUGUAAAAUAAACCAAAAUUUUUCUCUAGCUAUACAAUCUGCUUUGUAUUAUUCCGGGUAAAUACCAUUAGCUUUGAGGGGGAAGCUAAAUCCAUGGAUGAUAUACUGAUACUAGUUGGGACAGGCUCAAGAUAUGUAGGCGGCCAACUCAAGAUCCCGGACUGCUGAGCUGGGGAAGACAACAGAGAAGCAAGGCAACCAAGGGAGAUGCUACUAAAUUCUAGAAACUAAAGGAUUUAAAAAGACGCAUUAGGGGUGCCCUGGGAGGAAUUCCAACCAGAAUUUGACCAUACGAUGAUGGGAGUAGAAAUUUUCAAAGACAUAAAAAUAAAGAAGAGUUGUUGAAAUUUCUUAAGUGUCCUCUCUUGAGGAUUGUUUGUGGUUUAAAAGCUACAAAUUCAUCAGUUUGGGCCCAUGGCAGCUUGUAUGGCUUACGAUAAGUCUUUUACCGCAGAGUGUGCCAAAUAUACUAAUACGGCAAGAGUUGAAAUUUGCACACUAUAACUCAGAUGUACAAAAAAUGCUCUUUUAAAAUCCAAAGAUGAUGUCAUCUGUCUCAAGUUUCCAUUUCUACUCAAUAGAUAAAAAAAUCUUUUAAAUACUUUCAAGGGAGCCUGGUCCUUUCAGGUUCAAUAGUUUCUUUUGGGUAUUAGUAACUCAAAUUUGUCAUAUAUAAACUGCCUGAUUUUUUAAUUUUUCCCUUCCUCGUUCUUCCUGCUUCCCUCCCAAGGGAACCUAAGGUCACAAGGAGUUAAGCUACCUUCUCCUACAAUCAAGUCUGAAUUAGUUACUGAGAAUUUUCUCCCCAGAUCUGUUGCGAUGUGCUUGGCAUCAUCCGGCUCAUUUGGUCUCUGGGCAAGCAUCAGCUGCCGAAGUCCAUUGCCCCUCCGGUGCCCCGAGGCGCACUCUGCAGCCCCCUCAUACAAUCUGGUUCUUUUAAGCACUCCUAGGUCAGCCAGCAGGGCACAGGAAACUUCUGGGUUGCCUAGACACCAUACUCAGACUACUCUCUCAAUCCCACUUACCUAGACAUUUGCCUCAAGCAAUUUUAAUUUAUUACCCUGUCUUGUCCUCAAACCGCACUGAAUAUAGUGCUUAGAAUUUCCCAAGGUAUAUCCAGAGGUCAACAGCAAACCUGCUUUUUCAAGGUUCUCCUGUACCAUGUCUCCUCCUCCAAGGGAAACCUCAAUUCUUAUCCUUGGCUCUUCCUUUCUUUCCCUCCAGCUCCACCUCCUAACAGGGAAAGGGAUUUCCAUUUCCCAUGCCAGUAAGAUAAGAAUUUCGCUGACCCAUUUUUAGAUGGAAGUGAGCUUCAGUCUCAGAAUAACUUGAGGGGUUACAGAAGAAAUUAGGUUUUGAACAAGGAGGGCUCACUCUCCCUGUAUGAAGUGGUCCCAUAGUGAACUCUCCAUGGUUCCAUAGUCAAUUUGGGGAACAAUCUCAACACUGGUAGUAUCUUUCUAAAGAAAAUAAAUACCAACUUUCCAAGGAAAACCGAUAUCUCCUACCCUCCACUAGGUGGAGUGAACAACUUGAAAAGUCCCAGUGCUGAGAUGCUACUCUGAGCAAACUCAGAAGCAAAGGUUUAGUAAUAGCGGUCAGACAGAGAGCUACCAUAAAAUUAAGACAGAUUAAAAUAGAACAUAGAGAAGAAACACCUAACAAAAUGGUCACAGAAAUUAUUUUCUUAUACAUCACAUUUAAGGGUAAUAAAUCCUUUCUGAGGAAAAAGAAACCCACUACAUACCCUUUCAUAACUUUGAAGGACUUAACAUUAUUUAUCUCAAUAUUUUUAUACGGUAUAGCGUAAGUCACUGUCAAAAUAUCUAGAAGUCCUUGAAAGGUCUAAAUUAAAUCCUCCCCUUUAAAUAUUUUUAUAGAUAAACACUUGAAUUGGGUGGAUAUUUCUGACUAUUAGAGUCAAGCUUCUGAUGGCCAGCAACAGCAAAAUGAGGUAAAUAGUCCCCUUCAACAAUGUUGUCUUAACCUAUAGUCCUUUUGAACCAUUUUGGCCUUAUUAGUCUUUCAUGAAGACACCUGUCUCAGGGCCUUUGCACAUGCUGCUCCUGUGGCCAGAAAUGCCCUACACCCUGCAUGUCACAAAAUUUACACUCUCCAUUCACUCAGGAUUCUUCUCAAAUAUUAGCCCAUCAGUCAAAUAUUUCUUGACCACAUUUUGUAAAAUUGAAACUCCCUUCACUCUGUACCCUCUGGUCUCCUUUUUCUUCAAAGCACCAAUCAUUACCUAAUAAAUAUUACAUAUUAGCUUAAUAUUAACAAAAUAAAUAGAUCUCCAUACUGAUUUUACCUACUAGAACAUAAGUUCCACAAAGGCAGAAACAUGGGUUUUCUUCUGCAUUCCUAGCAGACAAGACAUAUUUAUUGAAUACGUGAACUAGACUGUAUCUUCCUGCAUAUGCUACAUAUUACAAACACCUAUGAUUAAAAACUUGGAAAGUGU